GACGAACGCUGGCGGCGUGCUUAACACAUGCAAGUCGAACGAAGAGCGAUGGAAGCUUGCUUCUAUCAAUCUUAGUGGCGAACGGGUGAGUAACGCGUAAUCAACCUGCCCUUCAGAGGGGGACAACAGUUGGAAACGACUGCUAAUACCGCAUACGAUCUAACCUCGGCAUCGAGGAAAGAUGAAAGGUGGCCUCUAUGUAUAAGCUAUCACUGAAGGAGGGGAUUGCGUCUGAUUAGCUAGUUGGAGGGGUAACGGCCCACCAAGGCGAUGAUCAGUAGCCGGUCUGAGAGGAUGAACGGCCACAUUGGGACUGAGACACGGCCCAGACUCCUACGGGAGGCAGCAGUGGGGAAUCUUCCGCAAUGGACGAAAGUCUGACGGAGCAACGCCGCGUGAGUGAUGACGGCCUUCGGGUUGUAAAGCUCUGUUAAUCGGGACGAAAGGCCUUCUUGCGAAUAGUAGAAGGAUUGACGUACCGGAAUAGAAAGCCACGCA
rnacentral:rRNA from 1 species